rnacentral:rRNA from 1 species
GACGUAGGGCGCGAGCGUUGUCCGGAUUUAUUGGGCGUAAAGAGCUCGUAGGCGGCUUGUCGCGUCGACCGUGAAAACUUGGGGCUCAACCCCAAGCCUGCGGCCGAUACGGGCAGGCUAGAGUUCGGUAGGGGAGACUGGAAUUCCUGGUGUAGCGGUGAAAUGCGCAGAUAUCAGGAGGAACACCGGUGGCGAAGGCGGCAUCCUGGACCGGCAUUGACGCUGAGGCGCGAAAGCCAGGGGAGCAAACGGG